rnacentral:rRNA from 1 species
UUUUCCGGUUGAUCCUGCCGGAGGUCACUGCUAUUGGGAUUCGACUAAGCCAUGCGAGUCGAGAGGGUUCGGCCCUCGGCAGACGGCUCAGUAACACGUGGAUAAUCUGCCCUUAGGUGGAGGAUAACCUCGGGAAACUGAGAAUAAUACUCCAUAGAUCUAGGAUGCUGGAAUGCACUUAGAUUGAAAGUUCCGACGCCUAAGGAUGAGUCUGCGGACUAUCAGGUAGUAGUCAGGGUAAAGGCCUGACUAGCCUACGACGGAUACGGGUUGUGAGAGCAAUAACCCGGAGACGAUAUCUGAGACACGAUAUCGGGCCCUACGGGGCGCAGCAGGCGCGAAACCUUCACAAUGUGCGAAAGCACGAUGAGGGGAUCCCAAGUGCUUGCUCGUAAGAGUAAGCUGUUUUUAUGUCUAAAAAGCAUAGAGAGUAAGGGCUGGGUAAGACGGGUGCCAGCCGCCGCGGUAAUACCUGCAGCUCAAGUGGUGACCGCUAUUAUUGGGCCUAAAACGUUCGUAGCCGGUUUGGUAAAUGCCUGGGUAAAUCGUGUAGCUUAACUAUACGAAUUCCGGAUAGAUUGCCAAACUUGAGACCGGGAGAAGCUAGAGGUACUCCUGGGGUAGAGGUGAAAUUCUGUAAUCCUGGGGGGACCACCAGUGGCGAAGGCGUCUAGCUAGAACGGGUCUGACGGUGAGGAACGAAGCCCUGGGGCGCAAACCGGAUUAGAUACCCGGGUAGUCCAGGGUGUAAACGCUGCUUGCUUGAUGUUAGUUGGGCUCCGAGCCCAAUUAGUGUCGGAGAGAAGUUGUUAAGCAAGCUGCCUGGGAAGUACGAUCGCAAGAUUGAAACUAAAGGAAUGGGCGGGGCAGCACAAGCAAAGCGGAGUGC